rnacentral:tRNA from 1 species
AUAAUAUUUUAAGCAUCUUCUAUCAAAUGCAUCAAGCUUAGAACUUGAAGAAAAUAAAAAU